UGCAAUGAGAGUUGUGCUAAGGUAGCAUAAUCAUUAGUUUUUUAAUUGGAAGCUGGAAUGAACGGUCGGACAAAAAGAAAUCUGUUUCAAUUAUAAAAAUUGAAUUUAACUUUUAAGUGAAAAGGCUUAAAUUGAAUUUAAAGCCGAUAAGACCCUAUAAAACUUUACAUUUAUAUAAUAUAAUUUUAUUUAUUUGUUAAUCAAAAUUAAUUUAUAUUUGUGUUUCAUUGGGGUGAAGAAAGUAUAAAAAUAACUGCUUUUUUUUCUUACAGAUAAUUUCUGUAUAUAAGACCCUAAAUUCUUAAGAAUAAAGAAAAAGUUACUUUAGGGAUAACAGCGUUUUUUUUUUUCAGAGUUCUUAUCGACAAAAAAGUUGGCGACUUCUUUUUUUUGGAUUAUA
rnacentral:rRNA from 1 species